CCUAACUGCUUCCUCCUUUACACAGUGACCACUUAAUAAGUGCUUUUCCCCCCCAUUCACUUACUUUGUGCUAUGCACUGUGCUGAGUGUAAGAGAGACAAAAAUCUUGUCACCAUAACCACUGCCUUCUUCCUCCAAGACCUGUUUCAAAAAAGUUAACAAUUAGAUAUAGGACUUAAUAUUUGAUAAGCACUUUACAUAUUAGCAUCACAAAAACCCUGAAAGAUAGGUGUUAUUAAUCCCAUUUUGUACAGUUGAGGAAACAUAUACAGUGGGUGACUUAGGGUGACACAGCCAGAAGGUGUUUGAGGUCUUCCUGAUUCAUGGGCUAGUGUUAUAUUCACUGUAUCACCUAGAUACAGUAGUUUGUAUCUAUAUACUGACCUUCAUAUAUACUCUCUGCUUCAAAGCUGAAAGCAGUCUCUACCUAUUUAGCUUUUUAUUUCACUUUGUUUGGAUCUCUUAUACCCUUCUGUCAAUUUCCCUUAUCACCAUCUUUUUUUUUUUUUGGAUCUAUUUGCGCUGCUUUUCCCACUUCCAUUAGAUUAUAAAUGCCCUUGGACCUGGACAUUAUCUAAUUUAUAUUAUUCUUCAACUCCUAGUUGGUAGUACUUUUUACAUAGUGAAAUUUAUCGCAAUACUUGUGAUAAACUAAAAGGGAGAUGUUUCUUCAGCCCUGUCUUCAUAUAUAGUUGCCACAAAUGCAUAGUUUCUUAUUGAUCAACAAAGAUUUAUUAAUCACUAGGUGUCCUGGCUCUGUCCUAAGCACAGGAUACCUCCCAAAAAUGCCAAAAAAAUCCACAGCCCCCACUCUCAAAGAGCUAAUAAAUUAGUAAAUGGAGGAAACAAACUUAAAAAAAAAAAUACAUUUGAGAUCUCAACAAUGUAAGGGGAAGGCGAUCCCAGAGGGAAGACUUGAACAGUUCUGAGAAAAGGCCUGUAGCAGAAAAGAGGAUCUGAAGAAAAUCAUGAGUAAAUAAUGACAUUCAUUUCUUCCUAAUGUCCUUGCCUAAUUUGACAAAUACCACCAUUGCCCCACAAUUACCUGGCUGUUGCCUAUUGUGCAACUACAUUAUUCUAUUGGUUGUCCUUGAACUUGUCUUUACAAUGAGCAUGCGAUCUUUUAAACUUUUCCUGUCUCUGAUGAGAGAACAGUUUUUUGGGUUAAGAUUAUGGGGUUAUUGGGUUAAGUCACCGUACAUCCUUGCAUUCUCUUAGCAUCAUUAUACACAAAUACUGGACUGGACCCAUGAAGACUUCCUACCAUUGACACUUGUUAAGCUCUGUGACCAUGGACACUUAAGUUUUUUUUUAAGCACGUUUCCUUAUCCCUAACAUAAUAACAUAAAUUUCUUUUUUUGAUGCAUACAUCAAAGUUUUUAUGCAGACCCUCAGAAUAAUCCCAAAUGAAAUAGUGUAGAUAAAGUACUUACAUGUCACUAGAGCUUAGCACAGGGAACUUAAUAUUUAUUAACUGAGAGCCAGUGUUCUUCGGGGCCUUGGAAGAAGUGAUGGGGUUUGCUGAGGAUCAUAUAAUUAAUAAAUGUCUGAGGCCAAAUUUGAAUUCUCCUGAUUUCAGAGCUGGUGCUCUGUCUCCUGUGCUAUCUAGCUGAUUUGUUUUUGUAGUAUAUAGAGACCUGGCUUUGGAGCAAAAAUCUGAGUUAAGGUCUCCCUUCUAACACAAACUGGCUGUGUGAUUUUGGGCAAAUUUCCUAAGCUUUCAGUAUUCUAACUUUUUUUUUUUUGCAGAGAAGAUACCAGCAUUUGAGGGCAGCGAGGUGGCAAUGGGUAGAGCAUUGGACUUAAAAUCAGGAAGACUCAUCUUCGGGAGUUUAAGUCUAUCUUCAGACAAUAAUUAACUACUAUGAUCUUGGACAAGUC
ensembl:lncRNA